rnacentral:rRNA from 1 species
AUUGAACGCUGGCGGCAGGCCUAACACAUGCAAGUCGAACGAGUGGCGGACGGGUGAGUAAUGUCUGGGAAACCGCCUGAUGGAGGGGGAUAACUACUGGAAACGGUAGCUAAUACCGCAAAACAACAUAUGCGCCCAGAUGGGUUUAGCUAGUUGGUGGGGUAACGGCUCACCAAGGCGACGAUCCCUAGCUGGUCUGAGAGGAUGACCAGCCACACUGGAACUGAGACACGGUCCAGACUCCUACGGGAGGCAGCAGUGGGGAAUAUUGCACAAUGGGCGCAAGCCUGAUGCAGCCAUGCCGCGUGUAUGAAGAAGGCCUUCGGGUUGUAAAGUACUUUCAGCGGGGAGGCGUUACCCGCAGAAGAAGCACCGGCUAACUCCGUGCCAGCAGCCGCGGUAAUUC